rnacentral:rRNA from 1 species
CCAGCAACUUGGAGGAAUGAACGGCAAUAGCUGGUUGCACUAUCAAUAACUUAGUGCAAAAUCGACUCUGUCGAAUAAAAUUCUAGGUAGAAGUAUGAUAAUGACAUUAUCUAUCUAUGUGUCUUGACCAAAUUACGUGCCAGCAGUCGCGGUAAUACGUAAAAGACUAGUGUUAUUCAUCUUUAAUAGGUUUAAAGGGUACUUAGACGGUAAAUCAAGCCCUAAAAGGGAACUAAUGUACUAGAGUUUGAUGUAAGGAAGUAUAAAAGUACUGUUGGUGUAGAGAUAAAAUUCUAUCAUACCAAACAUGGCACAGGUUUAGGCGAAAGCAUCUUCUUAUGUAAUAACUGACGUUGAAGGACGAAGGCUUUGUGUCUCGAACAGGAUUAGAUACCCCAGUAGUCUAAGCAGACAAUGAUGAAUGUCAUAGAUUAGAUUAGAUUUAAUUUAUUCUAUAAAUGAAAGUGUAAGCAUUCCACCUCAAGAGUAAUUUGGCAACAUUGGAACUGAAAUCAUUAGACCGUUUCUGAAACCAGUAGUGAAGUAUGUUGUUUAAUUAGAUGGUACGCAAAAAACCUUACCACAAUUUGAAUUAAUUUUAUAUUUACAAGCGUUGCACGGCUGUCUUCAGUUAAUGUCGUGAGAUUUUGGUUAGUUCCAUUAAAUUAACGUAAACCCUUACUUUAUUUUUAUAUAAAGUAGUUCACCGCUAUAUUGAAUAUGAUAAAAGGGACUAAGACAAGUC